AGAGUUUGAUCAGGGCUCAGAUUGAACGCUGGCGGCAGGCUUAACACAUGCAAGUCGAGCGGCAGCGGAAAGAAGCUUGCUUCUUUGCCGGCGAGCGGCGGACGGGUGAGUAAUGUCUGGGGAUCUGCCCGAUGGAGGGGGAUAACUACUGGAAACGGUAGCUAAUACCGCAUAAUGUCGCAAGACCAAAGUGGGGGACCUUCGGGCCUCACACCAUCGGAUGAACCCAGAUGGGAUUAGCUAGUAGGUGGGGUAAUGGCUCACCUAGGCGACGAUCCCUAGCUGGUCUGAGAGGAUGACCAGCCACACUGGAACUGAGACACGGUCCAGACUCCUACGGGAGGCAGCAGUGGGGAAUAUUGCACAAUAGGGGAAACCCUGAUGCAGCCAUGCCGCGUGUGUGAAGAAGGCCUUCGGGUUGUAAAGCACUUUCAGCGGGGAGGAAGGCAAUGGCGUUAAUAGUGUCAUUGAUUGACGUUACCCGCAGAAGAAGCACCGGCUAACUCCGUGCCAGCAGCCGCGGUAAUACGGAGGGUGCGAGCGUUAAUCGGAAUUACUGGGCGUAAAGCGUACGCAGGCGGUCUGUUAAGUCAGAUGUGAAAUCCCCGGGCUUAACCUGGGAACUGCAUUUGAAACUGGCAGGCUAGAGUCUCGUAGAGGGGGGUAGAAUUCCAGGUGUAGCGGUGAAAUGCGUAGAGAUCUGGAGGAAUACCGGUGGCGAAGGCGGCCCCCUGGACGAAGACUGACGCUCAGGUACGAAAGCGUGGGGAGCAAACAGGAUUAGAUACCCUGGUAGUCCACGCUGUAAACGAUGUCGAUUUGAAGGUUGUGGUCUUGAGCCGUGGCUUUCGGAGCUAACGCGUUAAAUCGACCGCCUGGGGAGUACGGCCGCAAGGUUAAAACUCAAAUGAAUUGACGGGGGCCCGCACAAGCGGUGGAG
rnacentral:rRNA from 1 species